rnacentral:misc_RNA from 1 species
GUAUAAAUUAUAUAGGCACAACAUUCUAUCGACAUACAUUGGGGUAAAUGAAACGACAUAGACCUGAAAAGGUCUACAAAAGGUGCACAGGUGGAGAUAUAAAAAUGACAAGGCGUGCACAUGCUCCCUAGAGAACCAGCAACAACCCAUCAGGUUUAUUUCAAUAAUGAUCCUUCCGCAGGUUCACCUACGGAAA